rnacentral:rRNA from 1 species
GCGGAGGGAUCAUUACCGAGUUUACAACUCCCAAACCCAAUGUGAACGUUACCAAACUGUUGCCUCGGCGGGAUCUCUGCCCCGGGCGCGUCGCAGCCCCGGACCAAGGCGCCCGCCGGAGGACCAACCAAAACUCUUAUUGUAUACCCCCUCGCGGGUUUUUUACUAUCUGAGCCAUCUCGGCGCCCCUCGUGGGCGUUUCGAAAAUGAAUCAAAACUUUCAACAACGGAUCUCUUGGUUCUGGCAUCGAUGAAGAACGCAGCGAAAUGCGAUAAGUAAUGUGAAUUGCAGAAUUCAGUGAAUCAUCGAAUCUUUGAACGCACAUUGCGCCCGCCAGUAUUCUGGCGGGCAUGCCUGUCCGAGCGUCAUUUCAACCCUCGAACCCCUCCGGGGGGUCGGCGUUGGGGAUCGGCCCUUUACGGGGCCGGCCCCGAAAUACAGUGGCGGUCUCGCCGCAGCCUCUCCUGCGCAGUAGUUUGCACACUCGCAUCGGGAGCGCGGCGCGUCCACAGCCGUUAAACACCCCAAACUUCUGAAAUGUUGACCUCGGAUCAGGUAGGAAUACCCGCUGAACUUAAGCAUAU